UACGUAGGGUGCAAGCGGUUGUCCGGAAUUAUUGGGCGUAAAGAGCUCGUAGGCGGGUCUGUUGCGUCGGCUGUAGAAAACCCCGGGGGCCUACAACUCCGGGCCGUUGCAGCCCGAUACGGGCAGGACGUUGAGUUCGGCAGGGGAGACGUGGAAUUCCUGGUGUAGGCGGUGAAAUGACGCAGAUAUCAGGAGGAAUACCCGAUGGCGAAGGCAGCCUCCUGGGCCAACACUCGACGCUCAUGCACGAAAGCGUGGGGAGCAAACAGG
rnacentral:rRNA from 1 species